AUUGAACGCUGGCGGAAUGCUUUACACAUGCAAGUCGAACGGCAGCACGGACUUCGGUCUGGUGGCGAGUGGCGAACGGGUGAGUAAUAUAUCGGAACGUGCCCAGUCGUGGGGGAUAACGUAGUGAAAAUUACGCUAAUACCGCAUACGAUCUACGGAUGAAAGCGGGGGAUCGCAAGACCUCGCGCGAUUGGAGCGGCCGAUAUCAGAUUAGGUAGUUGGUGAGGUAAAGGCUCACCAAGCCAACGAUCUGUAGCUGGUCUGAGAGGACGACCAGCCACACUGGGACUGAGACACGGCCCAGACUCCUACGGGAGGCAGCAGUGGGGAAUUUUGGACAAUGGACGCAAGUCUGAUCCAGCCAUUCCGCGUGCAGGACGAAGGCCUUCGGGUUGUAAACUGCUUUUGUACAGAACGAAAAGGUUUCUAUUAAUACUAGGGGCUCAUGACGGUACUGUAAGAAUAAGCACCGGCUAACUACGUGCCAGCCGCCGCCGUAA
rnacentral:rRNA from 1 species